UCGAUUCCCUUAGUAGCGGCGAGCGAAACGGGAAGAGCCCAAACCAACAAGCUUGCUUGUUGGGGUUGUAGGACACUCUAUACGGAGUUACAAAGGACGACAUUAGACGAAUCAUCUGGAAAGAUGAAUCAAAGAAGGUAAUAAUCCUGUAGUCGAAAAUGUUGUCUCUCUUGAGUGGAUCCUGAGUACGACGGAGCACGUGAAAUUCCGUCGGAAUCUGGGAGGACCAUCUCCUAAGGCUAAAUACUCUCUAGUGACCGAUAGUGAACCAGUACCGUGAGGGAAAGGUGAAAAGCACCCCGGAAGGGGAGUGAAAUAGAACCUGAAACCGUGUGCUUACAAGUAGUCAGAGCCCGUUAAUGGGUGAUGGCGUGCCUUUUGUAGAAUGAACCGGCGAGUUACGAUUUGAUGCAAGGUUAAGCAGUAAAUGUGGAGCCGUAGCGAAAGCGAGUCUGAAUAGGGCGUUUAGUAUUUGGUCGUAGACCCGAAACCAGGUGAUCUACCCUUGGUCAGGUUGAAGUUCAGGUAACACUGAAUGGAGGACCGAACCGACUUACGUUGAAAAGUGAGCGGAUGAACUGAGGGUAGCGGAGAAAUUCCAAUCGAACCUGGAGAUAGCUGGUUCUCUCCGAAAUAGCUUUAGGGCUAGCCUCAAGUGAUGAUUAUUGGAGGUAGAGCACUGUUUGGACGAGGGGCCCCUCUCGGGUUACCGAAUUCAGACAAACUCCGAAUGCCAAUUAAUUUAACUUGGGAGUCAGAACAUGGGUGAUAAGGUCCGUGUUCGAAAGGGAAACAGCCCAGACCACCAGCUAAGGUCCCAAAAUAUAUGUUAAGUGGAAAAGGAUGUGGCGUUGCCCAGACAACUAGGAUGUUGGCUUAGAAGCAGCCAUCAUUUAAAGAGUGCGUAAUAGCUCACUAGUCGAGUGACACUGCGCCGAAAAUGUACCGGGGCUAAACAUAUUACCGAAGCUGUGGAUUGUCCUUUGGACAAUGGUAGGAGAGCGUUCUAAGGGCGUUGAAGCAUGAUCGUAAGGACAUGUGGAGCGCUUAGAAGUGAGAAUGCCGGUGUGAGUAGCGAAAGACGGGUGAGAAUCCCGUCCACCGAUUGACUAAGGUUUCCAGAGGAAGGCUCGUCCGCUCUGGGUUAGUCGGGUCCUAAGCUGAGGCCGACAGGCGUAGGCGAUGGAUAACAGGUUGAUAUUCCUGUACCACCUAUA
rnacentral:rRNA from 1 species